AAAAACAUUUCUUAAUAAAAUUAUUUUAAGUAAAAUCUGCUCCAUGUAUUAUAAAUAGCCGCAGUAAUUUCACUGUGCUAAGGUAGCAUAAUCAUUAGCCUUUUAAUUAAAGGAUAGAAUGAAAGAUUUAACAAUUUUAUUUUUUUUUUAAAAAAAUAAUUUAAUUUUAACUAAAUAUUAAAAUGUAUUUAUAAAUAAAAAAGACGAUAAGACCCUAUUGAACUUUACUAAAGUUUAGCUGGGGAAGCUCGUUAAAAACAAUUUUAACCUUUCUAUUUAUUAAAAUAUCCAAUUUAAUUGAUUUUAAAAGUUACCAUAGGGAUAACAGCGUAAUAUUUUUUAAAAGUUCUUAUUAAAAAAAAAGUUUGCGACCUCGAUGUUGAAUU
rnacentral:rRNA from 1 species